UUUCGAAUCCUGGUGAAGAUGGAUUUUUUUUUUAUUCCAGGAUCUUUGGGUGCCUCUGAGUCCAGCUCUAAUGGGUACUUGACAUUAGUUGGGAAAAGUAAAGUCAGGUAGGCCCUUGUGCUGGCCACAUGACAUCCUCGUUAGCCGUGGGCCACAGAUCGCAACGUUUCAAAGGGGAACUAGUUUAACGCGCUGUAACAUGGCAGACGAUUCUGCCAACUUCACCAUUUUGGAAAUGAAAAGUGCUAAACUGGUACUGCUACUGAACAAUGUCGGAGAUCGACCUGGAUAUUUUCAAGUCAUCUUGGAGGGUUAUAGAGAAAAAAGACACAAAAUGAAUACUCGUAUGUUGAUUGGACUAUUAGGAGAAAUUUGGAAUAACGAAGUCAUGCCUGAAUCUCCAGCAAAGCAUCUUGGAAAUCUGUUGAAUCCAGAAGUAUGUAUGGGUCUAGACCGAGAAAACGCCAUAAUGGAGUUCUUUUGUUUCACCAUGGGGGAAAAUUGGCCACUGCUAUAAAAAAAAAAAACAAUGUCUAUAUUACGCAACUAUUAUGUUGUCUUGUUAUCGCUUGGUUAAUAAUAAAUGUGUUCCAUUCGUUGCUACUGAUAUUAUAUAUGAUUGCUUUCUCUUUCAAGAAGUCAUUCAAAACAUUUGAUGUUGAUUCGCCUUUAUUGUCAAUUUAUCAAUUAAUAGAGAGAUAUGGUCAUUAUAAAUAUUGAAUUUUACGUGGAGAACUGUAUUGUAAAAUUAUUUUUUUUAACACCAGAAUGUGUUUAUUAUUUCCGUGAAAACUUUUUGGAAUCAGUCUUGAAGUGUUUACAAAUAGUGAUGUCGAGUAUUCGAUGUUAUGAUGAAACACGUUGUGGGAGUAUUAGUUCUAGGCUCAACGUGUGGCUUUUCAUGUCCAUGUACACAGUUAGAAAGCGUGGGAAGCGUGGUCGAGAGUCUAAGUACACUUGAACUAAGCUUGGCUUGGCUACCUAGGAAAGAGAUUCGACACCCGACUCGGGCAGAGUUGUGUUUACGGAGCGCCUAAAGGCAGCACGGAAAAACCUUCUCCUAGAUACCCCCUUCCCCUCACUGGUCCACAAAUGCCAUAAUAAUGAUAAAAAAAUAAUGAUAAAAAAAAAAAUAAACAGAAUCAUGAAAACUCUAUUUUCUCUAUAUAUAUGUUAUUGUUUUUUUUAACACUAAUUGAAGUUCAUGAAGUCUUUAUGUUUAUUUUUAGAUUCAUCAUUGAGAAAUUUUCAUUAAAUUGAUUAAUCAUAUGAAUUAUAAUGCCACUUUAUAACAAAUCUUUGAGAUUUUACUCUUAUUUUUAUAUUUAUUGGAUAUUUUCAUUAUAAACUAAACAAUAUCAAGGACUUCAACUAUUGCCAACUAAAUAAAAGUCACAGUACACUCAUUAAGUCACUGAUUUAAAAAAAAAAAAAGAGCCUAUCAGCACGUCCCUUCAGUUUGUACAGCGGAUACACCACAACGCUGGCUAUUUAUAGGUACACCGCCAUGUCUGGACAUCUCCAAUAAGUGGAGACUUUAUGUAUACAUUGAUCAUUGCAUGCGGACUUUUUAAACUGAUGAUUUAUUUCAAGAAAAUUGCCUUCAUUAAGAAAUGUAACUUCACUCUAUUACAAAUAUAGUUUGUAGGUUUUUUUUUAAUGUAAGUCAACCAUGCGAUUUUGUUUUUUGGUUUACUAAAUGUACAAAUAUAAAAAUAAAAACAAUUUUCUUUUUUUUUUUGGGUGACCUUUGAAAUCUAAACAUUUCAACAUUAUAUUCAUUGUUGAUAUGUUGAUGUUUUUAAGCUUAGCGGUUUGACUAACACAGUGUUUCCCAAACUGUGUUAUACGGAACCCUAGUGUUCCGCGAGGCUUGACUAGGUGUUCCACGAACUACUGGAAUAAUUAACUAGUAGAUCAUCACUUUUAGUAUUAGUCUUUCUUUAAAAAAAUAACCAAUGUGUUCCACUAAAUACUCAGAAUGUGCGAAGUGUUCCGUUGAAGAAAAAGGCUUGGGAAACACUGGAGUAAUAAAAAAAAAAACUGUUUAUAAUAAAUUUCCUGACAGGCAAUGUACAGGAACAAUGAUCGCUCUAAGAAAUCUAAUCUUCAAAGUACUACGCUGGUCGUUUAGUAUCUACAACAAGGAAAGAUUUGUAGGAACAAGAACAAUUUUGAACUAUGCCUUAUACACAAACUUUGACCUUUUAGAAAUAUAAAAAAAAAUAUAAUUUAGUUAAUUAGAUAAAUUUUAGAUAAUUUAAAUAGAUAAACAGACAAACAAGGCUUUUUUUUUUAAAGAUGCAAAUAUUAUUUAUUUAUUUUGUCUUGGGAUAGCUUACAUGAUUUGUGUAAAAAUAAACUAAUGUAAUUCU